AAGACGAUACUUUCAGGGAUCAUUUCUAUAGUUCCUAACUAGAGAAGUGCAUUCGAAAGUAUUCUCCAAGCUGCCUGCUGGC